rnacentral:snoRNA from 1 species
AGGUAUCUAUUUGACAGAUCUGGAGUAGUUUGUUUGCUGCUGAGGUUUCUAACAUAGAUACAAUUUAAAAGUAUACUCAUGUUUUCUGUCUGUCUGAUUGUGGCAGCCAAGAUUGAAUAGAGGAAUACGGGG